UACAGGGGGGGCAAGCGUUGUUCGGAAUUACUGGGCGUAAAGGGUCUGUAGGUGGCCAACUAAGUCAGACGUGAAAUCCCUCAGCUUAACUGGGGAACUGCGUCUGAUACUGGAUGGCUUGAGUGUGGGAGAGGAAUGCGGAAUUCCAGGUGUAGCGGUGAAAUGCGUAGAUAUCGUAAGGAAGACCAGUGGCGAAGGCGGGUCUCUGGACAGUUCCUGACGCUGAGGCACGAAGGUCAGGGGAGCAAACGGG
rnacentral:rRNA from 1 species